UUGACCUCGGAUCAGGUAGGGAUACCCGCUGAACUUAAGCAUAUCAAUAAGCGGAGGAAAAGAAACCAACAGGGAUUGCCUCAGUAACGGCGAGUGAAGCGGCAAGAGCUCAAAUUUGAAAGCUGGCUCCUUCGGGGUCCGCAUUGUAAUUUGCAGAGGAUGCUUCGGGAGCGGCCCCCAUCUAAGUGCCCUGGAACGGGCCGUCAUAGAGGGUGAGAAUCCCGUCUGGGAUGGGGUGCCCGCGACCAUGUGAAGCUCCUUCGACGAGUCGAGUUGUUUGGGAAUGCAGCUCUAAAUGGGUGGUAAAUUUCAUCUAAAGCUAAAUAUUGGCCGGAGACCGAUAGCGCACAAGUAGAGUGAUCGAAAGAUGAAAAGCACUUUGAAAAGAGAGUUAAAAAGCACGUGAAAUUGUUGAAAGGGAAGCGCUUGCGACUAGACUCGCCCACGGGGUAACAGCCGCUAUUCGUAGCGGUGCACUUCCCCGUGGUCGGGCCAGCGUCGGUUUGGGCGGCCGGUCAAAGGCCCUCGGAAUGUAACGCCUCUCGGGGCGUCUUAUAGCCGGGGGUGCCAUGCGGCCAGCCCAGACCGAGGAUCGCGCUUCGGCACGGACGCUGGCUUAAUGGUCGUAAGCGACC
rnacentral:rRNA from 1 species